GCCUGUCAUCAUUGAAGUACAAAACAGAGUGGAGAAACGAGGAAGGAGCACUAGAAAGACUUCUGUUUCUUCACAAGGAGUAACAUGGCAGAAAGUGGUGAAGUGGAAGUUGACUACUGCCCUAGACUGAUAUCCAAGGAAAAUUCUGGCUAUAUUAAGAAGUUAUCGAUAGCAGGACUGAAUCCUUUGUUGUCCUUGAAUUUUAACCAUGAGAAGCAAGAUGUGGCUGCUCAGUGAGGGCAUCAGAGAAACACAGAAGGAGGCUGUUCAGCAACAAUCGCAACAGAAGGAAGCUUUCUAUGGACAGUCCAAUAUAGAUGCAUUUAAAAUGGUACUUAAUCUUUCUCAUAAAUGUUUAACUGAUGUGCAAAUUGAUGUUUUAAAC